rnacentral:rRNA from 1 species
UACAGAGGUCUCAAGCGUUGUUCGGAUUCAUUGGGCGUAAAGGGUGUGUAGGUGGCGCCGUAAGUCGGGUGUGAAAUUUCGGAGCUUGACUCCGAAACUGCAUUCGAUACUGGCGUGCUUGAGGACUGGAGAGGAGACUGGAAUUCAUGGUGUAGCAGUGAAAUGCGUAGAGAUCAUGAGGAAGACCAGUGGCGAAGGCGGGUCUCUGGACAGUUCCUGACACUGAGACACGAAGGCCAGGGGAGCAAACGGG